rnacentral:rRNA from 1 species
CGUGUAGGCGGUCCGUUAAGUCUGAUGUGAAAGCCCGGGGCUCACCCCCGGAAGUGCAUUGGAAACUGGCGGACUCGAGUCCCGGAGAGGAGGGUGGAAUUCCUGGUGUAGCGGUGAAAUGCGUAGAUAUCAGGAGGAACACCGGUGGCGAAGGCGGCCCUCUGGACGGUGACUGACGCUGAGACGCGAAAGCGUGGGGAGCAAACA